CAUCCAGCACAUCCGCGGAGGCCAGCUUCGUCCGUCCCGGGCAUCAGCUCAAGCCGGCGCAGCUCGUACGCUCGGCAUCGCCGUCUUCUUCAUCACGUACAUUGCCGGCGGCCAUCGUCGAUUCCCACCGUUCUGGUCCACAUCCGGCUUCCCCGAGCUCGUCAUCCGCACCACGAUGGUGGAGCCCAGGAUCCAGACGACACCACCGACGACUACUAUUACCCCCGAGGGUGCCUACUACUACGUGGAGACCGUCGACGACCAGGAGUAGUUAGGAGGCUCCCAGGCAGGAGGGCCUUGCCUUUUCGAUCGAUGUUGCUUUUGUGCUAGCCUUCUUAAGGCAGACUUGUCUAACUUAUGUCUGUACUCAGAUAUUGUUGCUUCCGCUGACUCUUGUGUUUUCGAGCUUAUGUAUUCGAGUCCUCGAGGCCUCUGGCUUGUAACAUAAAGCUUGUAUUAUUUUAAUUUGUGUCUAGAGUUGUGUUGUGAUAUCUUCC